GACGAACGCUGGCGGCGUGCCUAAUACAUGCAAGUUGAGCGCUGAAGGUUGGUACUUGUACCAACUGGAUGAGCAGCGAACGGGUGAGUAACGCGUGGGGAAUCUGCCUUUGAGCGGGGGACAACAUUUGGAAACGAAUGCUAAUACCGCAUAAAAACUUUAAACACAAGUUUUAAGUUUGAAAGAUGCAAUUGCAUCACUCAAAGAUGAUCCCGCGUUGUAUUAGCUAGUUGGUGAGGUAAAGGCUCACCAAGGCGAUGAUACAUAGCCGACCUGAGAGGGUGAUCGGCCACAUUGGGACUGAGAUACGGCCCAAACUCCUACGGGAGGCAGCAGUAGGGAAUCUUCGGCAAUGGACGAAAGUCUGACCGAGCAACGCCGCGUGAGUGAAGAAGGUUUUCGGAUCGUAAAACCCUGUUGGUAGAGAAGAACGUUGGUGAGAGUGGAAAGCUCAUCAAGUGACGGUAACUACCCAGAAAGGGACGGCUAACUACGUG
rnacentral:rRNA from 1 species